rnacentral:sRNA from 1 species
CCCUAGCCCCGAUGGGAGCAAAAAUCCUUUUGUACCGGUCCCGAUAGCUAUGGGGAGGCACAAAAGAUUGGAAGGAACGGCAGGACAUAGC